GCUCGGCCCGGCCGCGACACAGCCCAGGGCCACCGCCAGCCCGCCCUCGCCCGCCCCGGCAGGUCAUCGCUCCCGACCCUGGAGAUGAGCAGCACACGGCAAGUGCAGGGAUGAGGCCAAGAAGGGGGAACGGACUGUGGAGAGGAAUACAGACCACCCAGGAUCCCCAAAGCCCUCCCACGUAUUUCCAUAAAAAAUCUGAAAGAGCAGACUACCCAUGAUAACUGAUUGCAUAGAAAGUGAGAAGCCCAUCUUCAGGGCAGGGAAACUAGUACAUAGAAAGUAUCCCUCAAGCCCAGGUGGCACCAACAGGGUAUCUCAUUGGCUGGAUCGGUGCAGCUGGAUCAAUGCUGACACCAGGAGCGGUGAUCUCUUCUUUUUCUCUCUUUCUCUCUCCACCUCUUUAAUUCAUCUCUUCCUUUCUGUCUUCCCUUUCACACUACCUCUUUAUCUAAAACCCAUUGCCAUGUGCUUAUAUAGUAGGUCAGGGACUAAAAUAUCGAUUUCCAUGCCAAAUGUGUAAUUUACUAAUAAAACUUUGUUUAUUUGCAGA